UCAAAAAUUAACCCACCCAUGUUUAAGUAUAACCAAUUAUACCGUGAAAAUGAGAAUGGCUCAUUAAAUCAGUUAUCGUUUAUUUGAUAGUACCCUACUACUUGGAUACCCGUGGUAAUUCUAGAGCUAAUACAUGCUAAAAACCCCAACUUCGGGAGGGGUGUAUUUAUUAGAUAAAAAACCAAUGCCCUUCGGGGCUCCUUGGUGAAUCAUAAUAACUAAACGAAUCGCAUGGCCUUGCGCGG
rnacentral:rRNA from 1 species